rnacentral:rRNA from 1 species
AUGCGCACACACGCAUACACACAUGGUUCAUACACUGCCCAUACACACACGCCACGCUGCUGCGUCCCGCACGUCCCGUCCGUCCCGCGCGUCACCGACACGCCCGACAAACCCGACGAGCCCGACGGCACCAGUAUGUCCCGCCCGUCCCGCGCGCACCCGACGCGCCCGACGAACCCGACCACACACGCCGUGGCUUAUUCCAACACACACCCCCUAAGCCACGGCCUAGAGGAGUCCGUCGUCGUCGACGUUGGCACCGGCCAAGAGAGCCUGCUCCGCCGCCGGUCCUUUCCGCAGCUGCGGACACUCGCGCCGGAAGUGCCCGUGCUCCCCGCACUUGUAGCAGCGCCUGCGCCUGUUGCCGCCGCUCCCCGACGCCACGCUGCGCCCGUCGUCGUCGUCCCGAGCACCGCCGUGUCGACGCUCCCGCGCUGCCCACUGCGCCGCCGUCAUGAGCAGCUGCUCACCCCCGCGCUCGCCACCGUCUUGUCCACGGCGCCGAACCCGCUCGUCGAACGCACGCAGCCGCCCGAGCGCUUCGUCGAACGCCAUCGUCGUCACGUCGUGGAACUGCUCGAUGCCGGCGACGACGGGGAAGAGGCGAUCCGGCACCGUAUCCAGCAACUUCUUGACAAGUGCUGCGUCGCCCAGCGUCUCCCCGAGGUUGGCAUACCUCGCCGCCAUCGCCGCGAGCCUCCCGCCGUACACAUCGAGCUCCUCGCCGUCCGCCAUCUUCAUCCGGUCGAAUUCGCCGCGCAGCGUCCCCAGCCUUGCCGCACGGACCCGAUCGGCGCCGACGAACCUCACCUUCAGGGAGUCCCAUACCUCCCUGGCGGUGAGCUUCGUCGACACCUGCAGCAGCACAUCCUCCGGCAACGCCCCGAGAAGCAACGCACGCGCCAUCUUGUCCUUCCGCGCGUUCACUGCCGCGUCGCCCGGCGCCACCGCCUCCCAUACGGUGUGGACGUCGAGGAUCGCCUGCGCCUUGAUGGCCCAGACCGUGUAGUUGUCCGCGGUCAGCAUCGGCAUCGCCAUCGUCGCCGAUCCGCCCGCGCCACCGCCGUGUGGGACGAGCGCCAUGGUCGCCGGUGA